GAGAGUUGAUUCUGGCUCAGGACGAACGCUGGCGGCGUGCCUAACACAUGCAAGUCGAACGGAACUGCUUCGAAGGAUUUCUUCGGAAUGACAUUGAUUCAGUUUAGUGGCGGACGGGUGAGUAACGCGUGAGUAACCUGCCUUCAAGAGGGGGAUUACAUUCUGAAAAGAAUGCUAAUACCGCAUGACAUAUGAUUGUCGCAUGGCAGAUAUAUCAAAGAUUUAUCGCUUGAAGAUGGACUCGCGUCCGAUUAGUUAGUUGGUGAGGUAACGGCCCACCAAGACCGCGAUCGGUAGCCGGACUGAGAGGUUGAACGGUCACAUUGGGACUGAGACACGGCCCAGACUCCUACGGGAGGCAGCAGUGGGGGAUAUUGCGCAAUGGGGGCAACCCUGACGCAGCAACGCCGCGUGAAGGAUGAAGGUUUUCGGAUUGUAAACUUCUUUUAUUAAGGACGAAUAAUGACGGUACUUAAUGAAUAAGCUCCGGCUAA
rnacentral:rRNA from 1 species